rnacentral:rRNA from 1 species
UACAGGAGGGGCAAGCGUUAUUCGGAUUUAAUGGGCGUAAAGGGUGCGUAGGCGAUAAAUUUGAUUAAAUAUGAAAUCCCAAAGCUCAACUUUGGAAGAGUGUUUAAAAUCGGUUUAUUAGAGUUAGAUAGAGGUUUGUAGAAUUCUUAAAGUAAAGGUAAUAUUUUUCGAUAUUAGGAGGAAUACUAGUUGCGAAGGCGGCAUUCUGGAUCUAUACUGACGCUGAGGCACGAAAGCGUGGGGAGCAAACAGG